rnacentral:rRNA from 1 species
UACGGGGGGGGCAAGCGUUGUUCGGAAUUACUGGGCGUAAAGGGCUCGUAGGCGGCCAACUAAGUCGGAUGUGAAAUCCCCAGGCUUAACUUGGGAACUGCAUCCGAUACUGGAUGGCUUGAAUCCGGGAGAGGGAUGCGGAAUUCCAGGUGUAGCGGUGAAAUGCGUAGAGAUCAGCAGGAACACCCGUGGCGAAGGCGGCCCCCUGGGCCGUACCUGACGCUGAGGCGCGAAGGCUAGGGGAGCGAACGGG